rnacentral:lncRNA from 10 species
GAAUUGGGCACCUGUACCAGAACCAUCUUGCCCUCCCAGUGGAUGCCACCCCAGAAGCACUGCCCGGACACGUGGCCAGCAGACGGCAUGAGGGCCUCAUCCAAUCAGCUGAAGGCAGGGGAGUGUCGCCUAAGGGCCCGGAGGAGGAAUUCCCAGGACCGCCACAGAGAAGCCCGGCCUGAGCGCACAGCCUGGACUCGAGACUGCAACAGCGGCUCUUGACAGCCAGCGCGCCCUGCGAACUUCAGACGUGACAGCCCCA